rnacentral:rRNA from 2 species
GGUUGACCUCGAAUCAGGUAGGAAUACCCGCUGAACUUAAGCAUAUCAAUAA